AAUUCUCAACUCCUCUCGAUCGACUUCGAGUGGAGCUUGGAUGGUGGGGGCUGCCGGAGACCUGAAUAUUCGUGUUCGGGACUCGGGCUCCUCUGAAAUGUAUUGGCUUGCGGUCUGUUUUCGACUUUGCAUGACAAGGCUUUUGGCGUGAUAAUGAUCGCCGCUCGCCGAAGUGCAUGAAUGAAACCGUGCCGUGCCUCUAAUCCGUCGAUGCCUCUAUGGGGCGUCUUCUUUAUGCAU
rnacentral:misc_RNA from 1 species